rnacentral:rRNA from 1 species
GAUGAACGCUAGCGGCAGGCCUAACACAUGCAAGUCGAGGGGUAGAGGUUGCUUGCAACCUUGAGACCGGCGCACGGGUGCGUAACGCGUAUGCAAUCUGCCUUGUACCGAGGGAUAGCCCAGAGAAAUUUGGAUUAAUACCUCAUAGUAUCUUUUCCCGGCAUCGGGAGAUUAUUAAAGUUCCAACGGUACAAGAUGAGCAUGCGUCCCAUUAGCUAGUUGGUAUGGUAACGGCAUACCAAGGCAAUGAUGGGUAGGGGUCCUGAGAGGGAGAUCCCCCACACUGGUACUGAGACACGGACCAGACUCCUACGGGAGGCAGCAGUGAGGAAUAUUGGUCAAUGGGCGCAAGCCUGAACCAGCCAUGCCGCGUGCAGGAUGAAGCAUCUAUGGUGUGUUAACUGCUUUUAUACGGGAAGAAACACCGGUUCGUGAACCGGCUUGACGGUACCGUAAGAAUAAGGAUCGGCUAACUCCGUACCAGCCGCCGCAGUAA